CAAAGUAACAAGUAUUAUUCAGAUGAAUUAAAAUGAGUACACAACUAACAAACAAAAUUAUUGAGAACUACGGUUAGUUAUCACUAAAUAACCAAUUGUAACACACGACAUAUAGAAAACAAAAAAAUUACACAAUUAACAAACACUAUUGUUGAAAUUUGGAGUCUAACUCAUCAUUACAAAACUAACUUAUACGGUAAGGAUUAUCCCCACUUAUAAACACAUACUCAUAUCAUAUUUUGUCCGAUGUGAGACUCUUCAACAACUAGAGUCACAUGAUUUCAUAACAUUUUGGAGACAAACAAGGUUUAACCAAAACCUCAAGUGGAGUAACUUUGGUGCUAGUAAAUUCAAGGACUUCAGUCAAAUCAAUUGAUUCUGGAGAUAGAUUCAAGAUAUCAAAAGAAUGCAAGAAAUUAGCUAGAAUAUAAUGAAGCAUAUGCAAACCAAGGGACAUUCCAGCACACCUCCUUCUUCCACUUCCAAAUGGCAACAACUCAAAAUUUUGACCCCCAAGAUCAACAUCUUUGUUAGUGGUAAGAAACCUUUCAGGUUUAAAUUCUAAUGGAUCUGACCAAACCCUAGAGUCUCUAUGAAUCUUCCAUAGAUUUGGCAUCAAUCGAGUUCCCUUUUUGAUAUGGUAUCCACCUAUUGUGCAAUCUUCUGUGAAUUCGCGAGGUGACGAAAAUGGAGCUGGUGGAUAGAAUCUUAGUGUCUCUUUAAUUAUAGCAUCAAGAUAUACUAAUUUAUUAACAUCUGACUCUCUUACACAAUUUUCUUUUCCAAUUUGUGUGUUAAGUUCUUCUUUUGCUUUUUUCAGUACAUGAGGAUUUUUCAAUAGUAAAGACAUUGCCCAUGUAAGUGUUCCAGCGGUUGUGUCACUUCCUCCUAUGAUCAAUUCCUACAAAUAAAAGUUCAAAUUACAUAAGAAUAUCCCCAAUUAAUUAAACAACCUAAUUUUUUAACAAUAAUUAUACAAAAAGUAGCUUAUCAUAUGGAUUGGUUAGCAAUAAAAGUGUCAAAAAAAAGUUAUUUUAGGAGAAAAAAUUAUAAAUUUAAACUAAAUUAAAAUAUUCUAUCCCUCACCCACCAAUUUAUAUAAGCAUCUUAUGGAAAAAAUUCUCCCUAAAUAUAAGAAUUAUUUUAAAAUACAUUUUUUCCUAAAAAAAAGAAAUACAUUUUAGCGGUUGAUGACAUAAAUUUGUAUUGGUGUUACAAAAAAUUUAGAGAAAAAAAAAAAUCUCAUGAAAAAAGAAAUACAUAUAUCUAAUAACAUUGUUCAUUGUAUUGUAUGAUUUCUAUAUAUGAAAUUACUUAGUUAUCACAUCAUUUUUUCUAAAUAUAUGCAAACAAUUAUUAUUGUUUAUUUUUUAUUUUUGAACAGAUAAAAAAAAUGGGUUGAUGAGAAUUAAUACAAUGCAGGUGUUGUUUAAAUUGAAGUUUAAAAUCUCCACCAUCUAAAUUUAAUCUAAUUACUGCAAUUCAUUCUCACCAUUCUCACAUACAAAACCCAUUCUCAUGUGAUAUAUAUAUAUAUAUAUAUAUAUAUAUAUAUAUAUAUAUAUAUAUAUAUAUAUAUAUAUAUAUAUUUUCUCUCAAAAAAAAAAUAACUCAAAUAUUUAGACAUCCAUACAAAUAUUAAACAUUCAUUCAACACUUUUAUUAUUUUAUUUCUAUAUCUCCCUUCAUACCACAUUAUUUACUCAUCACCUUACUUUCUUUAUUUCUAUCUCUCUCACGAUGUUAAAUAGGUUACCGUGUACCCAAAUAACUUUCUAUACAGAAAAACCGACAUAAAUUUAUAAAAAGGAAAAUGUUAACGAGUGCUUCCACAACACAUUUAACAACCAUAAAUAGUAAAUUUUUAUGAAAAUUUGUGUAAUCAAUAAAAUUUAUAACAUUUAAUUUUUUUAAAAAUAUUUUUUAAAUUUGAGAAUCAGGGUGCCGAGACACUCGUUAACAAGACCUUGUAAAAAAUGGCCGAGGGAGUGAGUAUUAAAUACGUACCAUAGUUGUUGCUUUGAUUACGGUAUCUGCAUCAAACAUCUCAAUUGGUUUGUCAUUAAGCACUAAAAGCAUAGCAUCCAUAAAGUCUCUUUCCCCCACAACCUUAUCAUCACUACCUACACCCUUCUUUUCACGAUGCUCUUCUAACCACUUACUCAACAUUAUAUCAAAUUUCUUUGCACAUUUUUUCAUUUCCUUCUCAUGACCUCCUAAAUCCAACCACCUUAAAAAUGGCACAGCAUCUCCCACAGUAAAUGUCCCAAUCAAACGCAUAAAAUCCCUUAUAUUUUCCAAAAUUUCUGCUGCUUCUUCCUUAUUUCUCUCUUCCACUUCACCAAAACAUCUCUUCCCAACAACCAUUCUUAGUACCAUAUUUAAUGUCAAUUGUUGAAACCAUUUAUUCAACUCGACCGACACAUAGUCGUUAGUACUAGACUUAGUGUCAUUGAGUGGUUCAGAUUGCCCUGACGCUUGACUUUGAUGGGACCAAGUAUUAACGAGUUCUUUAAUCGAAGAUUGAACUUCUGAAACACGAAUGUGGCUCAGAAGUUCAACGCGGUGCUUAGAGAGAAUCUCCAUGGUAACAAUUUUCCUUAACUGACGCCAAUAUGCUCCGUACGGUGCCCAACCAAUGAAAGCUUGAUUAUACGACAUGAUUUCAGCUGCAACAGGUUUAGGGCGUGAUGAAACAACUAUGUCAUUUUUGGUGAAACAUUCUUUGGCUAAUUCCCAAUUGUUUAGUACCAAAGCAUGUGUAGCACCUAGCUUGAUUGUGAAUAUGGGUCCAUAUCUGUCAGCUAAGGAAGCUAGGGUUUUGUGGGGUGUUUGUGUAUUUCUCAUUAGUGGAAGAUGGCCUAGUAUUGGCCAUGACCCUGGAAUUGUAGGAGGGUUUUUGGUAUGAGAAACUUUGGAUAAACGAAAUAGAAAGAAAAAUAGGGAAAUUAGAGAAAUUAGUGCUAUGGUAGUGAUGUUAAGGUAGUUUAGGACUAACUCCAUUUUUUGGUUGAUUAUUGUGGUGCUGAAAGGACCAAUACCAUACUUGCUUUUAUAAGGAUUUGUGUGAGUCAUGCAUUAUUUGCCAUUUUUGUUGAAAGAAGAGUCAAACGGUGGCUUACUGUAGGAAGAAGAGCCAAAACAUGUCAGAGUAUUAUUGGAUUCUUUCUCCUUCAAUAAUAGGCAAUGAAGUUACUUGAUGUGCAAGGAUAAUAUACUUAACAAAUAUUUGAAAGAUACUCUUUAAACAUUUUAAAUUAAGGAAUUAUUCUUUAU
rnacentral:lncRNA from 1 species